UUCUUGCUGGAGAUCCCUGCCUACCUGAGGCCUUCUGAAAUCAGAGACAAAUGGGAACAGCUGCUGGCAUACCAAAGUGUGGCACUGAAGGAGGCAGUCUGCAGGCGUAGCCGGGGUGGCAAGAACAUGGUCUGCCAAGGAACUUCUUCUGGAUACGUCAUAAAGCAGGAAAAGGAUGCUGUUCUUGAUAUUGUCAGUGGAGAAGUCCAGUCUGGGGCCAAAACCACAAAAGUGAAGCCUUACAAAACCAGAAAACCAAGCAGAAAGAUCUUCAGCUGAUAAUGCCCUCUUUCCUCAGUAUGCAGACAGCAUUUUCCUUGAUAGAUGAAUGCAUUCCUGUGGAAAAGACUCCACCAUUCUGCUGACAUCUGAUGCUUGACAGGUCAAUGCAUUUUGAAGCAGAUGGGGCAAUAAUUCAUGAAAAAUAGUGUUUAGAAAAGAAAAGAAAGAAAGGCUGAAAGAUGACCCAUUACUAGUCACGGCACGUUGCUCUCACUGAUUGGAAAGCAGUCACACACCACCAAGCAUUUAUUCUGUUUACUGAGAUGUAACACCAAGGAACAGCAAUUCACACCUGCAGUGAAGUUGUUAUACUUCCCAUUUCUUUUCUUUAUUCUAUUUUUAUCCUUCAUUUUUCCUCUUUCAUUUUGCCUUUUUUUUUUUCUUUCUUUUUUUUUUCUUUUUUUAAUCUUCUCUGCCUCUCCUCCUUCCACUUCUGAGUUGGGUAUCUGUGCCAGUCUUAACAUUGACCUUAAACCUGAAAUGAAGUAUAAAUUGCCAGUGGUACACUCUGAGCUGUCAAAUCAUGGUAACUGAUGAUGUGUCUUUUGAGUGAUCAGCUUAAGUGUCUCUGGCUAAUAUGUGAAGUAUGUAUACAAAUGCAUAUGUAUAUAUGUGUAUAUACUUACUCACAUAUAUGUAGCUUAGAUCCAGACCACUUAUAUCAUGGGCUGUGAAAGAGAGAGAACUCCAUUCUUACGCACAACCUGUUGUGUGAUAUCUUAGUACUCUCCAAAAAUAGGGCAUAUGACUGGAGUCCAUUGAGAGACAAAGCCACAAAAUAAUCAGUAUGUGUGAAUCAGUGAAUAAAUCACUGAUUAAUUCACAGGAUCAUCGAAUCACAGAAUACUUGAGACUGAGGACUUGUUUUUGUUUAGUUUUGGUUUUCAGGAUAUUUGUACUAGACAAGAUAAAACAUAGCUGGAAAAUUUGAAGUGUUGUAAUAAUCUAGAAGCACUCCUUAGGAAAAAAAAGAGAAAAAAAGUGGGUAGGUAAAAUAGCUCUCUGAGGCAGCACAAACAUUCAUAUAAGGAUUCCAGAAUACUUUUACUUUGCUUGUAAGGACUAUAACCUGAAUAAGUAAAUCUAGGAAAUAUCCCACGUGCCCUGUACUCAUCACAAAUCAGUCUCAGGGGCUUAAAAUUACAAUUCUUACCUCUACAAACAUGACACUUAACAAUAUAAUGUCUCUCAGAGGAAAAGGUGGGCAUAGAAAUGGAAUUGCUAAAAUGAUUUUACUGUUGAAAGAAAUGGAGGCCUAGGUGGUAAGAAAAUACUACUUUUAAAUUGGUCUCAAGUGUUAAAUAAUGGAUAUAUGUGUAUAUGGGGUAUUCAGAUGUUUUUGAUUUUUAUGCUGAAGACUAAAAUUUCCAUUAGUAUUCCACCUCUUCAGUUUUGCCUGGGGACUGUUAAUUAUAUUUCUGAAAUUGCAACUAAAUAAAAACCUAACAAAAAAUAACAACCGGAU
rnacentral:lncRNA from 1 species